rnacentral:rRNA from 1 species
GACGAACGCUGGCGGCGUGCCUAAUACAUGCAAGUGGGACGCAAGGGAACACACUGUGCUUGCACACCGUGUUCUCUUGAGUCGCGAACGGGUGAGUAACGCGUAGGUAACCUGCCUAUUAGCGGGGGAUAACUAUUGGAAACGAUAGCUAAUACCGCAUAAUAUUAAUUAUUGCAUGAUAAUUGAUUGAAAGAUGCAAGCGCAUCACUAGUAGAUGGACCUGCGUUGUAUUAGCUAGUUGGUAAGGUAAGAGCUUACCAAGGCGACGAUACAUAGCCGACCUGAGAGGGUGAUCGGCCACACUGGGACUGAGACACGGCCCAGACUCCUACGGGAGGCAGCAGUAGGGAAUCUUCGGCAAUGGACGAAAGUCUGACCGAGCAACGCCGCGUGAGUGAAGAAGGUUUUCGGAUCGUAAAGCUCUGUUGUAAGUCAAGAACGUGUGUGAGAGUGGAAAGUUCACACAGUG